rnacentral:rRNA from 1 species
CAGUAGCCGCGGUAAGACAGAGGAUGCAAGCGUUAUCCGGAAUGAUUGGGCGUAAAGCGCGCGUAGGCGGUUACUCAAGUCAGAGGUGAAAGCCCGGGGCUCAACCCCGGAACUGCCUUUGAAACUAGGUGACUAGAAUCUUGGAGAGGUCAGUGGAAUUCCGAGUGUAGAGGUGAAAUUCGUAGAUAUUCGGAAGAACACCAGUGGCGAAGGCGACUGACUGGACAAGUAUUGACGCUGAGGUGCGAAAGCGUGGGGAGCAAACAGGAUUAGAUACCCCUGUAGUCCCUGUCUCUUAUAC